rnacentral:lncRNA from 1 species
ACAGACACUCACAGAUCCAAUCAGGAAAAUGUAUACAACUCGCAGUGAAUGCUUUAUCGAAUUUUAGGUGAAGAGCUCUAUGUGAGGGUUUAUGAUGUUGAUCCCAACCCUGCCAAGGAGAAGCCUCCUCCACAGAAUCUCCUUCUAUGUGGUUAGUCAUGUUAAAACCUCCAAGUUUCUUCUACUUGGCUGUCCCCUUUUUCUCCUUUACAAACUUUCACUAUUGACUUAACUUCUUGUCUGGUAAAUUCAUACCUUCGUAUAGACGUUUUAGCCACUCUGAUUAUAUGGUUGUGGAAAUGAGCAAAGGGUAUUUGGAAAUUACCUUGGCAUAAAGUUUAUUAUAAUCAUUGGAUGUCUUAAUCAUUUACUAAGUUGCUUUUGAACAUGUAUAUUACUAUACUUGUAUGUAUCUUUAAUUGCUGAAGAAUCAAUGUUAGCUAGACUUUAUCAAAGUAAUUGAAGCAAGUAACAAAGAUCCAAAGUCUACCUUGAUCACUAUACAUAUAGUACAUUCUUAAUUUGAUCCUUUUACAGAUAGUACAUUCUUAAUUUAGUUCCUAUCUAUUUAGCGUAUUCUUAAUAUGAAUUGUUGUUAUCUUGUCUCAUAAGUUUCAAAUUUUUUUGUGAUUUUAAAUUUCAGUUUAAAAUCUAUAAAUACAAAUUUGAGAAUUUUUAAAUAUGUUUCUUGUUGUGUUUUUUUGUUUUUUCAGCUUUUCUUUCAGUAUGAUGUAAGAGAUAAAAUCAUCCAUCCUGUCAAAGCCGAGGUACAU